GGCAGAGUCAGGGAAGGGUGUUGACAGAAGGUAGAGUGAGGGGGUGACAGAAGGUAGAGUGAGGGUAUAGAGCGAGGGAUGACAGGUGGCAGAGUAAGUGCAUGACAGGGGGCAAAGUGAGGGCGUGACAGGGGGCAGAGUGAGGGGAUGACAGGGCACAGAGUGUGGGAGGGAGGGGGUGACAGAGUGUGAAAGGGGAUGACAUGUGGCGAAGUUUAGGAGGGAGAGGGUGACAGGUGGCAGAGUAAGCGGGUGACAGGGGGUGUGAAAGAGGGCUACAGGUGGCAAAGUGUGGAGGGGGUGAUAGGUGGCAGAGUGUGGAGAGACAGGAUGACAGAUGCAGAUUGUGGCAGAGUGUGGAGGUGACAGGUGGCAGAGUGAGGGGGUGACAGGUGGCAGAAUUAGGGAGGUAUGGGGUGACAGGUGACAGAGUAAGGGAGGGAUGGAAUGACAGGUGGCAGAGUUAGGAGGUGACAGG